rnacentral:rRNA from 1 species
UACGGAGGGUGCGAGCGUUAAUCGGAAUUACUGGGCGUAAAGGGUGCGUAGGUGGUUGAAUAAGUUAUCUGUGAAAGCCCCGGGCUCAACCUGGGAAGGUCAGAUAAGACUGUUUGACUCGAGUAUAGGAGAGGGUAGUGGAAUUUCCGGUGUAGCGGUGAAAUGCGUAGAGAUCGGAAGGAACACCAGUGGCGAAGGCGGCUACCUGGCCAGAUACUGACACUGAAGCACGAAAGCGUGGGGAGCAAACAGG